AACGAACGCUGGCGGCAGGCCUAACACAUGCAAGUCGAACGCUCUAGCAAUAGAGAGUGGCAGACGGGUGAGUAACGCGUGGGAAUCUUCCUGGUGGUGCGGAAUAACUCGCCGAAAGGCGAGCUAAUACCGCAUAAGCCCGCAAGGGGGAAANAUUUAUCGCCAUCAGAUGGGCCCGNGUAGGAUUAGCUAGUUGGUGAGGUCAUGGCUCACCAAGGCGACGAUCCUUAGCUGGUUUGAGAGAAUGACCAGCCACACUGGGACUGAGACACGGCCCAGACU
rnacentral:rRNA from 1 species